GGCGGACGGGUAGUAAUGUCUGGGAAGUUGCCCGAUAGUGGGGGAUAACCAUUGGAAACGAUGGCUAAUACCGCAUAACCUCGCAAGAGCAAAGAAGCGGAUCUUCGGACCUUUCGCUAUCGGAUACGCCCAGAUGGGAUUAGCUAGUUGGUGAGGUAAGGGCUCACCAAGGCGACGAUCCCUAGCUGGUCUGAGAGGAUGAUCCGCCACACUGGAACUGAGACACGGUACAGACUCCUACGGGAGGCAGCAGUGGGGAAAUAUUGCAAAUGGGCGCAAGCCUGAUGCAGCCAUGCCGCGUGUAUGAAGAAGGCCUUCGGGUUGUUAAGUACUUUCAGCAGUGAGGAAGAUGGUGAGAUUAAUACUCUCAUCAUUUGACCUUAGCUGCAGAAGAAGCACCGGCUAACUCCGUGCCAGCAGCCGCGGUAAUACGGAGGGUGCGAGCGUUAAUCGGAAUUACUGGACGUAAAGCGCAUGCUGGUGGUCUGUUAAGUCAGAUGUGAAAGCCCGGGGCUUAAACUCGGAAUCGCAUUUGAAACUGGCAGGCUAGAGUGCUGUAGACGGGGGUAGAAUUCCAGGUGUAGCGGUGAAAUGCGUAGAGAUCAGGAGGAAUACCGGUGGCGAAGGCGGCCCC
rnacentral:rRNA from 1 species